rnacentral:lncRNA from 1 species
ACACACACACACACACACACACACACACACACACACACACACACACACACACACACAUGCACACGCAUGCACGCUGGCACAUACACGUAUGUCCCUACUUUUGCAGCCACCUCCCCUUAUUUCUUCCAUGGCUUGUGAGUGCCAGCUCCAGCAGACUGCCUUCUGAGCCUGCUCAGUACUGACAGGGCUCUCCUCUCAUGGUUCUUUCCUCUCUACCAGGUCUUUGUGUGGGACUUCUGUUCCAAGGCAUGGGCUAGCACUCAGUCUGUCAAGACCUACGUGCUAAUGAGCCCGCUCUAGAAUAAGCACUUUUAUAUUUAAUUAAAGACACUUAUCAGAUGAAUUGUGGCUAUAAAAAAAACAAAACAAAAAAAAAAACUCAGUAUGAACACAAUACAGAAAAUUGAAAGGGGAAGGAAGCCCACCAUCAACGCUGUAGUGCGUAUUCUGUCAGGGUUUUAAAACAGCGUUUGUCUUCUUACUUGUAUGUAUUAAGUAGAGGCACACACAGGCAAGCAGACAUGUGACGUGGUGCAUUUCUGGAGGUCAGAGGACACUUUGGAGAGUCAGGUCUCACCUGCUUGGAAGUACCGGCUCUUUGUGAGGCGUCACUGCUGCUCGGGCGGCUGGCUGUACAGCUGUCACUUUUAUUUCUUUGCAACAUCCUUCAAAAGUUUUAGUUUCAUUGUUACUAUGGUUGUGUGUACAUGAUACAUGUGUGUGGGCACACAUGUGCCACCAUACAUGGAGGCCAGAGGACAACUCAUUCAGCUCAGACAGCAGAUACUUCUGUCUGCUCAGCCUUCUUUCCAUUUCUCUCUCUUUUUUUUUUUUGUUUAAAUAAAUUGCUUUUUAAAAUAUGUGCGGGGCUGGAGAGAUGGCUCAUCAGUUAAGAGCUCUGACUGCUCUUCCAGAGGUUCUGAGUUCAAUUCCCAGCAACCACAUGGUGGCUCACAACCAUCUGUAAUGGGAUCUGAUGUCCUCUUCUAGAGUAUCUGAAGAUAGCUACAGUGUACUCUCACAUACAUUAAAUAAAUAAAUAUUUUAAAAUAUGUGCCAGAUACUAUUAACUGCCUGCAUAAAAUAUGCUAGUAUUCAAUACGUUGAGGACUGUGAGAACAGGACCAUGUUCUUAUACUUUUUUAAAAGAUAAUUAUCAUUUGAAAUUUUUUUUUGGAUGUCAGACAAGAUCAUCAAAUGGAGUUACAGACAGUUGUGAGUUGUAGUGUGGGUGCUGGGAGCCAAAACUCCAGCAAGUGCUCUUAACCACUGAACCACCUCUGCAGCCUCAGAUCAUUACUAGCAAUAAUAGGAGAUAAAUUCAAAAUUAAGAAAACUGAAGCCACGGGGUUUUAGGAUGUGUGCUGGAAUCGGAUGUGGAACUUUUCCAGCGACAGGCGGUGCUCUGCACGCUCUUCUCCCCAGCCUUCCAGUCCUGCUUCUCAUCAGGAUUUGGAGCAGCUCCCAGCUUCCAGCUAGGGGCUGGGGUCCACACACACACACACUCAUGCAUACACACCAAGAGGACCAAAGUUGGAGAAGAGCCAAAUAACAGGGACAGUAUAAUGUUGGGACAUAAAAUCAGAAUUGCUUUGAGCCUUUCAGCCAAUGAAAAGAGAGACAGACUACUGAGUAGAAGGUAAUAAUGUGGGCAGUUGAUGUCAGCAUACUAUGAGUAUGUGUAGGCUGUGUGCUUUGUGUGUUAGCCUGCCCUGUGUGUCAGUGUGGAUUGUGUUCACUCUUUCCUGUUUGGCUCCCUUGUCUAACAGAAAUGCUGCUUGCUGAUUACUCUUAAAUUAUUUAGUAUGCAAUGAGUAAUAAACUACAUUUACUAGAAGUCUGUAUCACAGGCUGCGAGGUUGGAGCAGCUCUGUAUUGUUCAGUAUGCAGUGCAGGUUCCUUGUAUUCUGAUAAUUUUUAAGAAUGUUAACCUUGUCUGGUGGUAGUCCACACAUUAUUCCCAGCACUCGGGAGGCAGAGGCAGGUGAAUGUCUUGAGUUUGAGGCCAGUUUGAUCUACAGAGUGAAUUCCAGGACAGCCAGGGCUACCCUGAGAAACCCUGUUUGGAAAAACAAAAGACAAAACCAAAAUGAUCUUAACCUGAGUUUUGACUAUAAC